rnacentral:lncRNA from 1 species
AUGAACAGCAACCAAGGAAGGAAAAAAAAAAAAAAAAGGUGUGGGGGUGUGUUUCCUUUCAACCACAGGAGCUAUUGCUCUCGAUCCCCGACCACCUGCCCAGCUGACAGCCCAGCACCGCGGCUGCUCGCCCGGGGGGUGGAAUGGCAGCGGCGCAAGCUGGCGAUGCGUACCAGUAGGGCUGCCGAGCAGCCGGGGGAGGACACCCAGCACCAGCCCCCAGCCGGGGCUGCCCGGGGGACGCCGCAGGCUCGGGAGGUGCCGGUAGGGGAAGCGGUGGGUGCCGUGCCGUGCCGUGCCGUGUUGUGUUCUCGGCGCGGGGCGGGUCGGGUCGGUAGCGUGGGGGGGGGGGGGCGGGGGGGGGGGGGGGGGGGGGGCGGCGGCGGCGGGGACUCACUCGGCGGGGACUCAGCACCCCGCCCCGGGCAGCCCAGCCCAGCCCCGGGGCAGCCGCCCCGCAGGCACCGCGGCUGGGAUGAGCCGGGCGGCGCUCGGCUGGGCUCGCUGCUAAACGCGCCUCCAUCCCUCUUCUCCUCCCUCCUCUCCUCCCUCCCUCUUUUUUUCCUCUCUCUCUCCCGGCUCUCCUCCUCCUCCCUAACUCACUGGAUAUUACCAGCCGCCGGGCUCGCCGCCUCGUCUCCCCCAGCCAUGAAUCCCAGCGAAGGGGCGGCGGAGGAAGGCGCUGUCCCCGACUCCGAGGUGGAUGCUUUCUUCCGAACAGCAGCUGUCAAAAUCCUGUCUUGGAUAACGUCUCUCAGUGGUCUGCUCCUGCUGCAUGAGGCCACCCGAGCGCAGUCCCCCUGAGAGUUUGCUGCAUGCGGCCGGCCUGGCCACGCAGGAUGAUGCACUGCGCCGCAUGAAAAUGAAGCAAUUGGAGAAAAACCUGGAAGCCAGGUUUUAGGCAGAGGUUUUGAAUAGUUGCCACCAACUAACAUUUUUUGAAGCCCACUGGUGGUUUCUAAAUGGAGACCUGGUGUUUAGAAACUGGGGCUAGUCCACGCUGCAGCAUCUUUUGUUGUUAUUUUUGGUUAGCGUUUUCGUUCUGAGACUGUAGGUGUGACUACUUGCAUCAGAAGCUCUCGCCUUGAGCAAACCAGGUAGUAAAUGAAGGUCAGGCUUUUUUUCCUCUUCUGUACCUUGCACAGUAGGUCCAUAUGCCCAUAAUCUGUCUGCUGAAUGUGAUUUAGGAUGAUUAAAAGGAAAACAAUAUUUUCCUGUAAAUCUGAGGGAAAUUUUGUCUCUGAAGUAAAAUGUGAAGAAUUAAAAGGAAAAAAUCCAUUCAUUAUGUAAUUUCCUCUCCCAUUUAUUGUAUUUCCUUUGAAAAAUGUAAUCUGCGUGACACUUGGAUGUUGCAGUGAAUUUGUGUUAAGAAAAUCUUGCAGGUGAUUCCAAAUAUUUAUUACUUCCUUAGCGGAAAAACAGUUUCUAGGGACCUGAUGAAUGUUUUUCCCCCCCCCUACAUCAUGGUCACACUUCCUUGUUGAAUUUGCUGUCCAGCUCUAGAAAAAUAAAUGAAUCUAGGAGAGCUGGGUUUAUUUACUC